CGAACCCCAUCAAGCCAAAUUUCAAGCCCCAAAGCUCCCAAAAAUUAAGAAGAUAAGGAAAAUUAACUUUUUCUUACCUUGGUGCAGCAUGAAGACAAAGAAAGCAACGAAAGACGGUCAUUUGCAUGGGCAAGUGUAAAAAAUUGCUAGGAAAGGAAGAGCAAAUAUCCUCUAGCUUUCUCUCUCUUGUAUGGUAGAAUAAAUUUCUCUCUGAAGUUAAUUUAAUCAUGUACUUAAGGUAGACUUAAAUAGACUUUAGAAGUAAUUUAUUUCUCUUUCCUAGAAUGAUCUAAUUUCCAAUUAAAGAGGGAAUCUACAUCAAAGUGGGAAACAAUCCUAUGUUUCCUAAAACAAAAGAAGAUCUCUACACCUGCUGCCCUUUCCUACGAGCAGCCCAACAUGUGUAGGGGCAUUUGUGGAGCAAAAAAUAAUCAAGAAAAUUAUGGAGGCGACACGUGGAUUUUUGGGUAAAAGACAAAAUUACCCACGCGCAUGCAACGGACAAUAAUUGUUCAAUCAAGAUCAGAGGUGAUCAAAAUGGUAUUUAUUUAAAACCCUCUCAUCACUCCUCAUUAAAUCCCCACCCACAAGGUAACUCCCAAUUAUUCUUUUAAAAUUGGGAUUAAUUACCAAAUUAAUUGUAAGAUAUUAUUUGACAUAAUAUCUUGCAAUUAUAUUCAAAAUACCACCAUAAGUAGCCGAUCUCUAUUUCUCCAAAUAGGGCUGGCCACACCCCUAUAUAUGGCCUCAUCUUCAUACCAAAAUGUAAGUUCAUUCUCACCCUAAAAUUCCCUAAACACUUUCUCUCUCAAAUUCUAACUUUGACAUCAGAGAUUCUUCGGCCAAAGCCCCCCCCCAUUCAUCGUGGGCGCAUGAGACUCUUGACCUUGAACUUAGGUGUUAUUAUUUUGCAAGAGCUUUUUCGUCAAAGGAAAAGAAUGCGAAAAUUUGCAUCCUCAUAUAUGAUUAACUUCCGAUCGUGUUUGCGCAAUUGAAAAUGAUGGCCUUCCAUUUGGCAAUUGGCAUGGAUGUUAAACGUCUCUCUCUUAACAUAGACCUUAGAAACUUCAAGAGGUAUCUCUACAUAUUCUAGAUUAAGGACGGUUGGAAUCGUAGCUUACGUUACAAUUUAAGGCACCUCAUAAAUGCGACAUCAUUAGAACCUGUAGAAUGGAAUAACCAAAUCUUAAUUAAUUUGUGUAAGAAAUAAAUCUUAAUUAAUUAAAAUUUGAAACAAAACUUUGAAAAAGGUUGAUUUUGUGAAUUAAAAUAAUAAAAACGAAUUUAAAUAAAAGCACCAAGUAAAUCGGCAAAAGAAAGUAAAUAAAAGAAAAUGAUUUUUUUUAAAAUUAAAUUGUAAAAGCACUAGGGUUCUGCUGUUACCUUAACAAUCUAACAUAGUUAUUACAAUUACUUAUAACUUAUGCAUGCAUAUUUUGAAGGUUAUGUUUUACUAAAGUAUGCUCUACUUGGAACCCCAGUAUAGAACGUAUAUCAAACAUGCAACCCAUCUGUGAUAUUCAAAUCAAAUCUAAAUAUACAAGACUCUUUAAGCUUUAUAAAACCUUUUGAAAAACCAUGAACCCUUAAAACAUGGUAUUCAUCCCAAGUGUUACAAUUAUUAAUCACAAGAAGCCUUCGUCAAUUUCAGGGAUAGCCCUCCAAUCAAACUUGCAUCAAAUUACUUUUCUAAAUAUCCUAAUGGUAGCUAAGCAUAGUUUAAACAUGGUGAUUAAUAAUUCAAAACCUACGUGCAUAAUAUCAUAAGUAAAUUGAAAGGAAACUAUGUAUUCUUGCUAAGGCUCGUGGCCUUGCCCUAGCAAAAAUGGAUUAGUUGUGCAGAAUCAUAGAGAAAAAUAUUAUUAAGAACAUGGAUAGAAAACAUAUUGUAAAUAAACUUGAACCGUCAAAAGCUCUCUAAGUCGAGUUCUCCAAAGUAGUGUGUCAAGAACCCUAAUGGCUAAUUAGCCUUAUUUAUACUACUACAUAAUAAAAGCCUUCCUUGAAAAGGUCUUAAAAAAAACUAGGAAACAAAAUAACGAAAUGAUAACUAAAAAUCAUGAUCCAUUUCAACCAAGGAAAUCUGCCCAGUUGGUAAUUCCCCAUGUUUCUGGACCAUCAAGGCUCCAAAUCAGGCCCAAAAUGACUCUUUUUAAAGUUUGAGAUGUCUUGAACAUAUUUCCAGAAGGCCUUGAACCCAAAGAUACCAUCAUGGACACUAAGAAACCUAGUUAAGCCCAAAACGUCAGUUCAGCAACACUGCACGCUACUCCUUUAUUUCGUCGGUAUAAAUUAUCCACUCGGUAGAAAAAUAUAAAACUUUGAUAUGAACUAUCUCUACACACGAACAUCCUUCAAUUGAAACCACUCCAAAAUUUGUACAUUUGAUCACUUUUUUUUUCUCAAGAGAAAAUUGCAUGUCAUACAUUGAAAAUAUAAAUCAAAGUAUCAAGAUUUCACCAAAAUAAUUACCAAAGAAUACUAAAAAUAGAAUAAAUAUGUAAUAUAAAAUAGACUCAUCAAUCUACAACAUCAUGACUAUUAUGCCAAGAUCUACUGUAAAACAUCAAAAGCUACUAUUGAAAGAUAAUGACUUGUAUAACAAGAUAUGCAACCCCGCCAUCAUCGAUCCUCCAACUUCGAACUUCAUUUCCAAGUUGUCGCACAAAAAAAUAAAAUAAAAUAAAACUAGACGGAGUUGUCGUAUUAUCCAUCCAAAUUGAUGGUAAGCUUGAACAAGUAUGGAUCUUAAAGGGUCUUAGAGAGCUCCAACCUCCAUUGUAAGUCAUCAAAGUGUGAAUUAGGAUAGUUGGUUAUUGUAUCUAAAAGAAGUAGAGAGAUGGUAGAAAAAGAUAUUAUACAUAUUUGUAAGAAACGAUAUUCAUUAUAUAAAUUUCAAGCAUGCAUCAAAAACGUUUCUAAGACGUCAAAUAAAUUCACAAUAAGAGUAAUAAUCUUUAAAGAAAAAACCUAUGAUCGCAUAACCCUUUUAUCUUUUCUCGGUCUCCUUUCUUUUGCUACCACUCUAUUAUUUUCCUUUUGGACAGAUAUAUGAUUAGCUUCCUUCUUGUUUGCGCAAUUGAAAACGAUGGCCUUCCAUUUGGCAAUUGGCAUGAAUGUUAAAAGUCUCUCUCUCUCUCUAAACAUAGACCUUAGAAACUUCAAAAGGUAUCUCUACAUAUUCUACAUUAAGGACAAUUGGAAUCAUAGCUUACGUAACAGUUGAAGGAACCUCACGAAUGCCACAUCAUUAGAACCUGUAAAGUGGAAUAACCAACGUGAGCCAUCACCUUUUUCCACCCUCGAAUGAAUCCCUUUAAUAUCUUCUUUUGCUUUAACAUGCAAGUUUCAUUCCCAUUCACACAUCUUUUUAGCUUAGUUUUGGAUGCUUUGGACAAAAUUUAAGGUCAAUAUUUGAAGAAAGGAAGGAUUUUCAUGGCUCAAGAAGGGAGACGGAGAUAAAUGACAUAGAUUCAUUUAUCUCCGUAUCUCUCUAUGUCAAUUAUUCAAGGAUAUGUAUAAAAAAUUUACCACAAAACUUUGUAUCACUAUCACAAAAAGUCUUAAUAAUUGUAUAUUCGCUUCGUGUAAGUUACUCUCUCAGAUAAAUAGGGCUUUUAAGAAGUCUCUUUCCUUGUCGAUACGUUUAGCUGUGUGAACUUCACAUUUGCAUGCUGAGAGAGAGA
rnacentral:lncRNA from 1 species